rnacentral:rRNA from 1 species
AGUGAACGCUGGCGGCAGGCCUAACACAUGCAAGUCGAGCGGCAGCGGGUCCCCGCGAGGGGAUGCCGGCGAGCGGCGGACGGGUGAGGAACACAUCGGAAUCUGUCUGGUUGUGGGGGAUAACGUAGGGAAACUUACGCUAAUACCGCAUGAGACCCUGAGUCGACGGACUGGGGGGUGAAAGUGAGGGACCUUCGGGCCUCACGCGACCAGAUGAGCCGAUGUCGGAUUAGCUAGUUGGCGGGGUAACGGGCCCGCCAAGGCGACGAUCCGUAGCUGGUCUGAGAGGAUGAUCANCCACACUGGGACUGAGACACGGCCCAGACUCCUACGGGAGGCAGCAGUGGGGGAAUCUUGGACAAUGGGCGCAAGCCCUGAUCCAGCCAUGCCGCGUGGGU